GCAUAUUUACAGCACACUGGAACAAUUAUGUAUUACAAACUGUACUAACAGUUUACCAUCAUCUUUAUAGUUCGUUUAGUUCAACUCACAGUUUCACACAAUCUUAGUCAUUCUAUAACUUUUCUCUGGUUGAUUUUUCGUACAGGGAAUAACAAUUUAAAUUCUUUUCAGAUGAACUCUUCCACAUAGCCUGGUUUCUGGAGCUGCCUUUUUAUGCCUGUUCCAUGAUACAAGGUCAGUGUUGCAUUUGCAUAAUGACCUUUUGUAGUGAGGCUCUUUCCCCAUAUGGAGAGGGGAUCAUGCCCUGCACAGAGCCCAUGUGCUGAAUUACCAUUGGUCCUCAGCUCCACGGUGAGAGCUACCGCUGAAAGGUGAAGAGAGAGGAAGAGAAAGCAGGAGAAUUGCACAAGGCCACUUACCUGAGUCAAAGCUGCAGGACACUUCUUUCAGGGUAGAAUCUCCCUCCCUCUCUGCAUUGUCUCUUUUUGAUGUCCCAAGCUCUGGCCUAAGGAGCAGUUCGAGAUAUUGAUGAAUCAUUUCCUGUGAGCCUGAAAAAGAGAGAUCAAUUUCAAAGCCUAAGCUAGGGGAGGCAUUAGGAACAGUUCAAGUAAAUAAUGGUGUUCUGAUAAGAAGCUGGUUCUGGUGGAGAGAGAAAACUCCUGGUGCUUUUUCUCUCCUUUUUGUUUUCACUGACAUCCAAAGCUUCAGGGCUUUUAGUGCUCUCAUCCUCUUGUGACAAGUCAUCAGAGUUCUCCAGCAAAGAUAACAGGCAGCGCUGUCCAUCAAUGCAACAUGCAGAAUCAAAGCAGGGACAUAUACAAGAAAAACAUGGGGGUCUGUGCUCAAACACCACCUAAAUAUUUCCCUGCACAGUUAAGUGUGUAGGGAUGGGGAGCAGAAACCAUCUAAAUAGCAGGGGGUUCCAAAGCAGCUUGCAGUCAGGACAAGACAAACCUAGACUGUAUCCCAGCAGCCAGAUGUCUUGGUGUUCAAAACUUGGUGUUCACGGAGGAGACCAGGCUCCAGUACAGAUAGGAUUCCUUAGUUCAAACAACCCAGUUUCUCCUCCUUAUUUUGAUUUGGGUACACUGUUCGGUAAUCAUCAUCAGAGUUCAGAAGUCUAG
rnacentral:lncRNA from 1 species